AUGGCAGACGAACCAUCUGCCAAGCGUCAUCAUGGCGAGCCGUCGGACAAGAGCAGCGACUUCAUCGAUGUUCACGUCCCCGGUGAGAAGCGCGAGUACACGAGAACCCUCACAGGGGUUGAGCUCCACGGCAAAGAGAUGCUGGAGAUCGUCUGCACCAGUGAACCAGACAAGGCCGACAAGGUGAUGAUCAAUGUGUGUCUCCCCCUUUGCAGGCCCAAGCGCCUCAAACAGUUCCUACAGGAGGAGACAUUGUACACAUUUGUCGGUUUCAGCAUUGGAGGCGACAAGCAGAUGCUGAACAAGUCUGGUUUGGAGAUCAACCCCAACAAC
rnacentral:rRNA from 1 species